rnacentral:rRNA from 1 species
UUGAACGCUGGCGGCAGGCCUCACACAUGCAAGUCGAGCGGAUGAAGGGAGCUUGCUCCUGGAUUCAGCGGCGGACGGGUGAGUAAUGCCUAGGAAUCUGCCUGGCAGUGGGGGAUAACGUCCGGAAACGGGCGCUAAUACCGCAUACGUCCUGAGGGAGAAAGUGGGGGAUCUUCGGACCUCACGCUAUCAGAUGAGCCUAGGUCGGAUUAGCUAGUUGGUGGGGUAAAGGCCUACCAAGGCGACGAUCCGUAACUGGUCUGAGAGGAUGAUCAGUCACACUGGAACUGAAACACGGUCCAGACUCCUACGGGAGGCAGCAGUGGGGAAUAUUGGACAAUGGGCGAAAGCCUGAUCCAGCCAUGCCGCGUGUGUGAAGAAGGUCUUCGGAUUGUAAAGCACUUUAAGUUGGGAGGAAGGGCAGUAAGUUAAUACCUUGCUGUUUUGACGUUACCAACAGAAUAAGCACCGGCUAACUUCGUG